UACGUAGGUGGCAAGCGUUGUCCGGAAUCACUGGGCGUAAAGGGCGCGUAGGUGGUCUGAUAAGGGUGUGGUGAAAGCCCGGGGCUCAACCCCGGGUCGGCCGUGCCGACUGUUAGACUAGAGUGCUGUAGGGGCAGGCGGAAUUCCGGGUGUAGCGGUGGAAUGCGUAGAGAUCCGGAGGAAGACCGGUGGCGAAGGCGGCCUGCUGGGCAGUUACUGACACUGAGGCGCGACAGCGUGGGGAGCAAACAGG
rnacentral:rRNA from 1 species